rnacentral:rRNA from 1 species
CCUACGGGUGGCUGCAGUGAGGAAUAUUGGUCAAUGGGCGGGAGCCUGAACCAGCCAAGUCGCGUGAGGGAAGACGGUCCUAUGGAUUGUAAACCUCUUUAGGCGGGGAGCAAUGCCGGGCACGCGUGCCCGGCGGGAGAGUACCCGCAGAAUAAGCAUCGGCUAACUCCGUGCCAGCAGCCGCGGUAAUACGUAGGUGGCGAGCGUUAUCCGGAAUGAUUGGGCGUAAAGGGUGCGUAGGCGGCCUGCUAAGUCUGGAGUGAAAGGUACCGGCUCAACCGGUACAGGCUCUGGAAACUGGCGGGCUAGAGAGCAGGAGAGGGCGGUGGAACGCCAUGUGUAGCGGUAAAAUGCGUAGAUAUAUGGAAGAACACCAGUGGCGAAGGCGGCCGCCUGGCCUGUUACUGACGCUGAGGCACGAAAGCGUGGGGAGCAAAUAGGAUUAGAUACCCCAGUAGUC